rnacentral:rRNA from 1 species
CGCCUACGGGGGGCAGCAGUGGGGAAUAUUGGGCAAUGGGCGCAAGCCUGACCCAGCAACGCCGCGUGAAGGAAGAAGGCUUUCGGGUUGUAAACUUCUUUUCUCAGGGACGAAGCAAGUGACGGUACCUGAGGAAUAAGCCACGGCUAACUACGUGCCAGCAGCCGCGGUAAUACGGAGGAUGCGAGCGUUAUCCGGAUUUACUGGGUGUAAAGGGAGCGUAGGCGGUGCAGCAAGUCAGAAGUGAAAGCCCGGGGCUCAACUCCGGGACUGCUUUGGAAACUGUUGAACUAGAUUGCAGGAGG